GUAGGGAGGGCAGACCUGGCAGAAGCUGGAGUGCCCUGAGAAUCCUGUGGGGCGGGAAGCUGCUGAGCAGGGCAUGCCAGCUGGACAGGGCAUCCAAAGAGUCUCCAGGCCAUGAACUGGGUGAAGGAGGACCCCGGUCACCCCAGGCCUGGGGUCAGCAAGGCGUAGGAUGUGUGUUCAAGGAUAGCAAAAGAAGAGACUGAUUUUCAUUUGGGAAGGGGAAACAACAAGGUCAAGUUCAGAGAAUGAGCAAUGC
rnacentral:lncRNA from 1 species